rnacentral:rRNA from 1 species
AGUGAACGCUGGCGGUAGGCCUAACACAUGCAAGUCGAACGGCAGCACAGUAAGAGCUUGCUCUUACGGGUGGCGAGUGGCGGACGGGUGAGGAAUACAUCGGAAUCUACUUUUUCGUGGGGGAUAACGUAGGGAAACUUACGCUAAUACCGCAUACGACCUACGGGUGAAAGCAGGGGAUCUUCGGACCUUGCGCGAUUGAAUGAGCCGAUGUCGGAUUAGCUAGUUGGCGGGGUAAAGGCCCACCAAGGCGACGAUCCGUAGCUGGUCUGAGAGGAUGAUCAGCCACACUGGAACUGAGACACGGUCCAGACUCCUACGGGAGGCGGCAGUGGGGAAUAUUGGACAAUGGGCGCAAGCCUGAUCCAGCCAUACCGCGUGGGUGAAGAAGGCCUUCGUGUUGUAAAGCCCUUUUGUUGGGAAAGAAAAGCAGCAGGUUAAUACCCCGCUGUUCUGACGGUACCCAAAGAAUAAGCACCGGCUAACUUCGUG